rnacentral:rRNA from 1 species
AUUCGUUCUCAAAUCAGGUGAGACUACCCGCUGAACUUAAGCAUAUCACUAAGCGGAGGAAAAGAAACUAACCAGGAUUCCCCUAGUAACGGCGAGUGAACAGGGAAGAGCUCAAGCCUAAAAUCUUCGGAAUUGUAGUCUAUGGUGUGAUCUUUUGCAUCCCCGGGUAUAAAUCUGUUCUUGGAAUAGGGUGCCAAAGAGGGUUAGAGCCCCGUCUUUGACUCGGUUGGAUGUGAGUGAUAAGGUCACUUCUAGAGAGUCGGCUUGCUUGGGAAUGCAGGCCAAAUUGGGUGGUAAACUCCAUCUAAAGCUAAAUAUUGGCGAGAGACCGAUAGCGAACAAGUACUGUGAAGGAAAGAUGGAAAGAACUUUGAAAAGAGAGUGAAAAAGGGCUUGAAAUUGUUGAGAGGAGAAGUGAUUGGAGCUCUAUCCUGCGUGGUGGGAUUCAGCAGGUACAGCUUGCUAUACCUGUCAUCAUGCCACCAUGCUGGCCAGCAUCAGUUUUCUGUGGGGGACAAGGCAUCGAGGGCAUUUUGGCUCUUUGCACAUGACCUGUGGAAGACUGAGGCACUAAGGGUGCGCCUAGCGACCGGCCCAUGGCAAGUCUACUUUCUAGGUUACACAAUUCGUUGUUUGAUCUAGGAAGUGGGAUUGGUGCUGUGGAGCGCUGGAUCCUGCAACCUGAAGAUGCUGGCACAAUGGCUUCAACCAGCCCGUCUUGAAACACGGACCAAGGAGUCUAACACAUAUGCGAGUAGUAAGGUGGCAAACCUUGGAUGCGAAAUGAAGGUGAAAGUGUGGGAUCCCGCAAGGGUGCACCAUCGACCGACCAGGAUCUACUGUGACAGGUUUGAGUAAGAGCAUAUUUGUUGGGACCCGAAAGAUGGUGAACUAUGCCUGAAUAGGGUGAAGCCAGAGGAAACUCUGGUGGAGGCUCGUAGCGGUACUGACGUGCAAAUCGUUCGUCAAAUUUGGGUAUAGGGGCGAAAGACUAAUCGAACCAUCUAGUAGCUGGUUCCCUCCGAAGUUUCCCUCAGGAUAGCUGGAGCUCUCACAAGUUUUAUCGGGUAAAGCGAAUGAUUAGAGGCCUCGGGGGUGCACACUCUCGGCCUAUUCUCAAACUUUAA